ensembl:lncRNA
CUCUCAAAUUAAAAUUAAUAGCUGUUUCUUUUAAAAUAAAAUCUUCGAACUCACUCCAAAAUCUUCUGACAUAAGAGCAGUCCCAAAAUAAAUGGUUAAGAGUCUCUGGGUCACAAUCACAAAAUAAACAUGUGUUGUCAAUAGCUAUUUUAAAUCUGUGUAUAAUAAAGGUCUUUACAGGGUAGAUUCUAUGAAUGAGUUUGUAUGAUACUUCUUUCACCUAAUUAGAUAUACAAUAUUUACCAGAUAACAACAAAACCUUGUUCCAGUUCACUUGUCCCAGGGCUGCGUUCCAGUUCACUUGUCCUAGGGCUGCAUUCCUGUUCACUUGUCCUAGGGCUGCAUUCCAGUUCACUUGUCCUAGGGCUGCAUUCCAGUUCACUUGUCCUAGGGCUGCAUUCCAGUUCACUUGUCCCAGGGCUGCAUUCCAGUUCACUUGUCCCAGGGCUGCAUUCCAGUUCACUUGUCCUAGGGCUGCAUUCCAGUUCACUUGUCCCAGGGCUGCAUUCCAGUUCACUUGUCCUAGGGCUGCAUUCCAGUUCACUUGUCCUAGGGCUGCAUUCCAGUUCACUUGUCCUAGGGCUGCAUUCCAGUUCACUUGUCCCAGGGCUGCAUUCCAGUUCACUUGUCCCAGGGCUGCAUUCCAGUUCACUUGUCCUAGGGCUGCAUUCCAGUACAUUUUAGCAGAGGGAAUAGUAACAUAUUGACAUAGUUUCCUUAUAUACCUGUUAUUAC